GUAAUAAAAAUAAAUAAUAAAAAUUUAAAGAGUAUAAAAUAAAUUGGUACUAAGAUCUACUAACUAGAUCUUAGUAUCUACUUUCAAAAAAAUAAAAGAUAAAAAUUUAAAAUGCAAGAAAAUAAAUUUUUUAUAUAUUAAAAUUGAUAUUCAAUUAUAAAAAAAUUUAAAAAGAAUAAUAAAAUAAAAUAAAACUAUAAAAAAGAUUUAAAGUUGAUCAGUACAGCCU
rnacentral:lncRNA from 1 species